rnacentral:rRNA from 1 species
UACGAAGGGGGCUAGCGUUGCUCGGAAUGACUGGGCGUAAAGGGCGCGUAGGCGGCUUGCACCGUCAGAUGUGAAAUUCCUGGGCUUAACCUGGGGGCUGCAUUUGAUACGUGUGGGCUUGAGUGCGGAAGAGGGUCGUGGAAUUCCCAGUGUAGAGGUGAAAUUCGUAGAGAUUGGGUGGAACACCAGUGGCGAAGGCGCCUGCCUGGCUGAUGACUGACGCUGAGACUCGAAAGCAUGGGGAGCAAACAGG